rnacentral:rRNA from 1 species
UACCGCCUACGGGACGCAGCAGUGGGGGAUAUUGCACAAUGGGGGGAACCCUGAUGCAGCGACGCCGCGUGGGUGAAGGAGCGUUUCGGCGCGUAAAGCCCUAUCGGCAGGGAAGAAGAUGACGGUACCUGACCAAGAAGCCCCGGCUAACUACGUGCCAGCAGCCGCGGUAAUACGUAGGGGGCAAGCGUUAUCCGGAUUUACUGGGAGUAAAGGGGGCGCAGACGGCAAUGCAAGCCUGGAGUGAAAG